ACCGACACUUACACAGGCGCUCCAGCCUCCUUCUGCCUCCUGGCUCAAAGAUGGCAGCUCUCAAACUCCUCUCCUCCGGGCUUCGGCUCCGUGCCUCUGCCCGCGGAUCCAGGGGAGCCUGGUACAAGGGAUGUGUUUGCUCCUUUUCCACCAGUGCUCAUUGCCAUAACAUACUAAGUUUUAUACAGAUCCAGUGGAAGCUGUAAAAGACAUCGCUGAUGGUGCAACCGUUCUGGUUGGUGGUUUCGGGCUAUGUGGAAUUCCAGAGAAUCUUACAGGUGCUUUACUAAAAACUGGAGUAAAAGGACUAACUGUAGUCAGCAACAAUGCAAGGGUUGACUACUUUGGUUUGGGCCUUUUGCUUCGGUCCAAUCAGAUAAAAGGUAUGGUUUCUUCGUGUGGGAGGAAAUGCAGAAUCUGAAUGACAGUACUUAUCUAGUGAAUUAGAAGUGGAGAUGACACCACAGGGCACACUUGCAGAGAGGAUCCGUGCAGGUGGGGCUGGAGUUCCUGCAUUUUAUACCCCCACAGGGUAUGGGACCUUAGUAAAAGGAGGAUCGCCCAUCAAAUACAACAAAGAUGGCAGUGUUGCCAUUGUCAGUAUGCCAAGAGAGGUGAGGGAGUUCAAUGGUCAGCACUUUUAUUUUGGAGGAUGCAAUUAGAGGGAAUUUUGCUUUGGUGAAAGCUUGGAAGGCAGACCAAGCAGGAAACGUGAUUUUCAGGAAAAGUGCAAGGAAUUUCAACUUGCCAACAUGUAAAGCUGCAGAAACCAUGGUGGUAGAGGUUGAAGAAAUUGUGGAUAUUGGAGCAUUUGCUCCAGAAGACAUCCAUAUUCCACAGAUGUAUGUACAUUGCCUUAUAAAGGGAGAAAAAUAUGAGAAAAGGAUUGACCGUUUAUCAAUCUGGAAAGAGGGAGAUGGAGAAGCCAAAUCUGCUAAACCUAGAGGUGACGUAAGGGAACGAAUCAUCAAGAGGGCCACUCUUGAGUUUGACGAUGGUAUGUAUGCUAAUUUGGGCAUAGGAAUCCCUCUCCUGGCCAGCAACUUUAUCAGCCCAAAUAUGACUGUUCAUCUUCAAAGUGAAAAUGGAGUUCUGGGUUUGGGUCCAUAUUCAUGACAAUAUGAAGCUGAUGAAGAUCUAAUCAAUGCAGACAAGGAAACAGUUACUGUUCUUCCAAGAGCCUCUUUUUUCUCCAGCGAUGAAUCAUUUGCAGUGAUUAGAGGGGGACAUGUCAAUCUGACAAUGCUAGGAGCGAUACAAGUUUCCAAAUAUGGUGACCUAGCCAACUGGAUGAUACCUGGGAAGUUGGUGAAAGGAAUGGGAGAUGCUAUGGAUUUAGUGUCCAGUGCCAAAACCAAAGUGGUGGUCACCAUGGAGCAUUCUGCAAAGGGAAAUGCACAUAAAAUCAUGGAGAAAUGUACAUUACCAUUGACUGGAAGGCAAUGUGUCAACCAGAUUAUUACUGAAAAGGCUAUGUUUGAUGUGGACAAGAAGAAAGGGCUGACUCUGAGCUCUGGGAAGGCCUGACAGUGGAUGACAUACAGAAGAGUACUGGGUAUGAUUUUACAGUUUCACCAAAACUCAUGCCAAUGCAGCGGAUCGCAAAUUAAAAUGUGGACAUUGGUACCAGGCUGCGUGUUUUUCAUUUUAAAAACACAGGAUUUAACUGAAAGGACCUCAAUGAUUAUAAUUGUGUAUUUAACAAGUGGUUUUUGAUUAGUUUUCUUCUAGUGUUUCAGGCUUUAUGCAGCCAUAUAAACUGUUCUCUAGGCAUGCUGUGACAUUUUAAUACAAAGAAAAAGGAGCAU